rnacentral:rRNA from 1 species
UACGUAGGGUGCGAGCGUUAAUCGGAAUUACUGGGCGUAAAGCGUGCGCAGGCGGUGAUGCAAGACAGAUGUGAAAUCCCCGGGCUUAACCUGGGAACUGCAUUUGUGACUGCAUUGCUGGAGUGCGGCAGAGGGGGAUGGAAUUCCGCGUGUAGCAGUGAAAUGCGUAGAUAUGCGGAGGAACACCGAUGGCGAAGGCAAUCCCCUGGGCCUGCACUGACGCUCAUGCACGAAAGCGUGGGGAGCAAACAGG